AAAUUGCAGUUUACAUAUAUUGUGUUGUAUCCAGAUAUGCAGUGAAUGUGUUUCCAUCCAAGUGUGAUGACUUUCAUACCCCAUCAGUGAUAAAGUAUUGGUCUGUAUAGUCCCAGCAUAUACGUACCUCAAUGUGGGGUGCAUGUGUAGAGGUCAUGUUGAUGCAAAGGUACAUGCACAGGUACAUCAAAGGGCAACAGGUUAUUCACCAGGGAAAUAAAUCACUCAGUUUAACUUAUUGUAAUUUCUGGUCAUUGUGUCACUACCUAUUUAUCAUCUAACAUCAUGUUAAAGAUCUAUAUUAUCUUUGUAACUACAGUGUAUAUGUAACCAUGUGCAACCUGUACAAAAAAAGAAAAGAAAAAGAAGUUUAUUUUUGCCUCAAAUCCAAUGUAAUGUUGUUGGAGAUGUUUCAAGUUUCAUGACGUCAGCCCAAGUUAAUAAGUAUCAGGGAAGGUGUCGGCACAGCAUGUGGAUCACAUGACAGAUGCUUUUGCAUGAAGGGCAUAGAUUUAUUGCUUGUUCGCAUGAUGCCCUUCACUUAGAUAGUAGGGUUCUAUUUCACUCAAUGAAUAAACUCAUUACAAGUUUGUCAGGUGUGAACUUUAGUGUACAAAGUCUCUUGGCCCCCUCCCUAAUCCUCCUUCUUUUUACUUUGUGUGCGAUUGUGAUCAAUACUUGUAUCGAGAAGUGAAAAAUUGUGAUGCAUCGGUGCAUCGUCCCACUACUAAUAUAAGUAUAAUCAAUAAUGUUUAACCUUUUUUAGAAUAUGUUAACCGCAUAUAGUCUAAACAUUCAUCUGUAAGAAAUCAUCAUAAUAUUAUUUAUGAUGUGCUAAUUUGGGGGACCAAUGGUUAAAAUGUGCAUUACAUAUUUCCCUCAAUUUCUAGCAUAUAGUGACAUUUUAUUCUUAACAUGAUAGUGUACGUACUGUGAUGCCACGCGAUGAAAGUACAACGCAGUGAUGUAACAGUGCUACUCUGUUCACUGUUGCCAAUAGCAAUACUUGGCCUUGUAAAAGUAUUUACUUUUUGUUAAAUAUAUGCCGACAGUUUUGGUGAACAUGAUGAGAUGUUUUGUUGAUACAAGCAUUGUCUAGCUACCUGUCAAGAGUGAUUGAGUCAGGCAGCCACAAUCAUGUGCAUUAAACAGAAGUCUAUCCCAGUCACCAAUUCUAUGUUUGUACUUAUUGGUAUGUAGACAUCUUCUGCAGUAAUUACCAGUGGAUUAACUUUCAGGGCAUGUUAACAGUUCAUAGUUUCCUUUGAGCAGUUAGGUACUUGUAAAUGUUCCGUUAACCCACUGUGGUAACAGUGAAAGCCCUGGUACCUUGUGCCCAGGGUGAUUCAUUUAUUCCAUAGCUGCCUCAGUCCUACACACAUUUCAUCCUGAAAAUAUUGAUUUUUCUCCUAUAUUGAGCUGUCUUUUGUAAAUAUGUUCUGUCAGAAUUAUAUAGCAGUGAUGAGGACCAUUAGUUAAGAAAGAAUGUAAUUAUUGCAGUGAUUAUGUGAGGUAGAGUUAGAUGUGUAAUUUGCACUGAUGCUAGACUGAGCUCACUGAAGCCUGGUAACCACUGCAUCAUUGGGUAUUUUCUAGAUUGGUUUGAUCGAUAAGGCAGAGCAGCAGCGAAGUUGUGAGUCAUCACAUGGUCACUGGACCAAGGAUCAUAUCUCGGCAGCGGCCUUUCCCUCUCUGCUGUUAAGGGAGUUGAUUGUGGACUCUCAUGCUGGCAUCAUUUGGGAAGGUGAAUGUGUACCUGGAGGACACACACUACCCCAGUCUGCCAUCUGUGGACCUCAUCUACAGGCUGUUCCACAUCUGCUCCAUCAAGCACAGCAUCACAGACUACACAUAGGAACUUCCACAGAGAUAUUUCUCCAGCAGGUUUUUGUGAUACCUGAUGUCAGAGUGACUGUUUCUAUACUUUGCUGUCUGCCAGUAUGGCGUGUCUACAAGAGUGGAUGGUUGUGGUGAUGUGUGUGGUGGUGUAUUCUAAGGAUCUGGUUGUGCAGGCUGACACACAGAUAACAGUAGACUUGAUCACAUGCUGGACCUGCCCCAACAUGACAACUAACGGCGAGUGCAAUGGAUGGGCCCCAGACAUCAAGUGCCCUGCUGAGCAAACAGUGUGCAGGACUGUCCACAGGUUCGAGUCAGCGUCAGGCUCCAGUGUCUUGGUCAACAAGGGAUGUGUUGCACCCUCCCAGUGCAGCAAGACACAUGUUGGCUGCCGGGCAACAGAUAAUCGGUCACUCAAGGAAUGUGUAUCAUGCUGCACAGAGUCCUAUUGUAACAAGGAGGUAGCAGUGGACAACAUGACCGCCAUGCAGCUGUCUUUAUCUGUGCUCAACUUUGCAUCCCCUCUCUCCAGCCUGGCCCCUGGCUGUCUUCUGGUGCUCAUGUUUCUCCAUUACUGUGUCACGUGAGACGUCUCCAACUCCAGGUUUCAUAUUGGUGCUAUCACAGCGAGUCGGACAGACUCAGAUGUUGUGUACAGAGAGCUUGAAGGGCUCCAGUUGCCCUGUACCAUGAGGUAGAUGGACUCGGAUGUUGUGUACAGAGAGCUUGCAGGGCUCCAGUUGCCCUGUACAGUGAGGUAGAUGGACUCGGAUGUUGUGUACAGAGAGCUUGCAGGCCUCCAGUUGCCCUGUACAGUGAGGUAGAUGGACUCAGAUGUUGUGUACAGAGAGCUUGCAGGCCUCCAGUUGCCCUGUACAGUGAGGUAGAUGGACUCAGAUGUUGUGUACGGAGAGCUUGCAGGGCUCCAGUUGCCCUGUACCGUGUGGUAGAUGGACCUGGAUGUUGUGUACGGAGAGCUUCCAGGGCUCCAGUUGCCCUGUACCGUGUGGUAGAUGUACCCUAUAGUGAGGUAGAUGGACUCAGAUGUUGUGUACAGAGAGCUUGCAGGCCUCCUGUUGCCCUGUACAGUGAGGUAGAUGUACCCUAUAGUGAGGUAGAUGGACUCAGAUGUUAUGUACAGAGAGCUUGCAGGCCUCCAUUUGCCCUGUACCGUGAGGUAGAUGGACUCGGAUGUUGUGUACAGAGAGCUUGCAGGCCUCCUGUUGCCCUGUACAGUGAGGUAGAUGUACCCUAUAGUGAGGUAGAUAGACUCAGAUGUUAUGUACAGAGAGCUUGCAGGCCUCCAGUUGAUCUGUACAGUGAGGAAGCCACCUGAUGGUGCAAUCCAAGCCAAGAAGUUAGUGGUCAUGUGUGGAUGUGUUGCACUAGACCUACAGCUCAGGACUAGCCCCGAUGUAGAGCUUUGUUGACACAUGAUUAUUCUGGAAACAGUUUGUGUUAGCAGUACAGUGUUAGUAUUUAUUGCUGUGGAUGGUCAGUGUAAGGUUGACAAUCACCAUCUCCAGCAUCAGUAGUGACAGUGACCAGCAUAUCUGUGAUACAGGAAUUCCAGAAAUUGACCUUCAUAUAACCUUCUAGGUUUGGAAUUGAAGAUCAUUCAGACACUGAGAUUUUUGUUUUCUAUGUGCAAUAUGACUUUAGUGUUGGUGACAUUUGUGUUAACUGAAUUUGAUUUGAGUGUAAUACUCAUAGUUUGCCAAAGUGUUGUGUAGUAUACUGACGGGAGGGACUGGCAACUUCCAACAGUUGGCAUAAUGCUGUCAGUGAAUGGGUACCGAGCAGCCACAAAUAAUACAUGGUAGUAAUCUGUUCCAUGUCUGUGAAUAAAGUUGACUUUCACAAGUGAAGUCUGUAUGGAUGGUCUUAA
rnacentral:misc_RNA from 1 species